rnacentral:rRNA from 1 species
GGUGUUCGGGUUGUCAUGCCAAUGGCACUGCCCGGUAGCUAAAUGCGGAAGAGAUAAGUGCUGAAAGCAUCUAAGCACGAAACUUGCCCCGAGAUGAGUUCUCCCUGACUCCUUGAGAGUCCUGAAGGAACGUUGAAGACGACGACGUUGAUAGGCCGGGUGUGUAAGCGCAGCGAUGCGUUGAGCUAACCGGUACUAAUGAACCGUGAGGCUUAACCUUACAACGCCGAAGCUGUU